ACGGCUACCUUGUUACGACUUCACCCCAGUCGCUGACCUUACCGUGGUCGGCUGCCUCCUUGCGGUUAGCUCACCGGCUUCGGGUAAAACCAACUCCCAUGGUGUGACGGGCGGUGUGUACAAGGCCCGGGAACGUAUUCACCGCGGCGUGCUGAUCCGCGAUUACUAGCGAUUCCACCUUCAUGCACUCGAGUUGCAGAGUACAAUCCGAACUGAGACGGCUUUUGGGGAUUGGCUCCGGGUUGCCCCUUCGCUGCCCGCUGUCACCGCCAUUGUAGCACGUGUGUAGCCCAGCCCGUAAGGGCCAUGAGGACUUGACGUCAUCCCCGCCUUCCUCCGGCUUAUCACCGGCAGUUUCCCCAAAGUGCCCGGCCGAACCGAUGGCAACUGAGGACGAGGGUUGCGCUCGUUGCGGGACUUAACCCAACAUCUCACGACACGAGCUGACGACAGCCAUGCAGCACCUGUGCUCCGUCCAGCCGAACUGAAGGAUUCAGUCUCCAGAAUCCGCGACGGACAUGUCAAGGGCUGGUAAGGUUCUGCGCGUUGCUUCCAAUUAAACCACAUGCUCCACCGCUUGUGCGGGCCCCCGUCAAAUCCUUUGAGUUUUAAUCUUGCGACCGCACUCCCCAGGUGGGGUGGUUAAGGUGUUAACUGCCCCACUGAGAAAACUAGGUUUCCCCACCGCUAACACACAUC
rnacentral:rRNA from 1 species